UCCUUUUUGCAAAGUUAACAUCACUAAGACACUACCCACUCCCACCACCAACUCCCUGCAAAAAGCAUGCCUACUGCAGCACACCCACUGAUAUACUUCACCCAUCCCCUUCCACUUCUACUCAAUCUCCCACACAAUUUGCCAUAUUUCACUCUCACAAGGAAACCCAACGAACAAGUGCAGAGGCUUUGAGCAUCAUGAGGAUUAGCACUGCUAUUCCGAUUCAGAGAUAACGUUAAACGACAGGCAUUGCCUAUACAGGUUGAGCAGUUGAUGGAAUGGAAUGAUGUUGAGCGGGUGUUCCUUUGACAUUUCAAGAAAUGUAACCUUGAGUAUACAUCUUCAUAUGUAUAUCUCACACUUUUUCCGCUGCAAAACACUUUGAUUAGGAU